GCGCAGGUGGCGGAAUUGGUAGACGCGCUACUUUGAGGGGGUAGUAUCGGUUUAACGAUGUGUGAGUUCGAGUCUCAUUCUGCGCACGA
rnacentral:tRNA from 2 species